UCACAUAAGGAUGUGCAGUGAGCUGGACUUCAUAUUCAAUCACCCAAAAGAAAAGUGAAGGAGAAAGCCCACUUUUGCCUGGUGAGCCUCAACGUCAUGUAAGACACAAUGACCAAUUCCUUCUGGAUUUUACAUCAGUGAUAACUGCUUGAGUCUUUCCUGUCAUCAUUUGCCUUUGACUCUCUGGAAGAGUUUGGAGAUCUUUCAAAGGCUUGGCCUGUUGUCAAAAUCAGACUAUGGCAAGGAAAUGGGUGGUAACAACGCACAGAAAGGGUGAUGUCACCAAAGCACAUGGGGAGAAACUGAUACAAAAGUUUUGUAAAAGAGGUCAGCUGGAAAAGGGCUGCAUUACUGAGGAAGAUAUGUUGUGCUCAGCUCACCUCCUUUUUCAGAGAUAACUUCUCAGAAAUGUGAAAACAAGUGCCAUU